rnacentral:rRNA from 1 species
UACGUAGGUGACCAGCGUUGUCCGGAUUUACUGGGCGUAAAGAGCGCGCAGGCGGUCGUUCAAGUCGAGUGUGAAAGCCCCCGGCUCAACUGGGGAGGGUCAUUCGAUACUGAUCGACUGGAAGGCAGGAGAGGGAAGCGGAAUUCCCGGUGUAGCGGUGAAAUGCGCAGAUAUCGGGAGGAACACCAGUAGCGAAGGCGACUACCUGGCCUGUUUCUUGACGCUGAGGCGCGAAAGCUAGGGGAGCAAACGGGG